rnacentral:rRNA from 1 species
AAACUCGGGCUAAUACCGCAUCCUCUGGACGGUCCGUGGACUGUUCAGCAAAGCUGGCCUCUGCUUGCAAGCUAGCGCCUCGAGAGGAGCCCGCGCCUGAUUAGCUAGUUGGUGAGGUAACGGCUCACCAAGGCUGCGAUCAGUAGCCGGCCUGAGAGGGCGAUCGGCCACACUGGGACUGAGACACGGCCCAGACUCCUACGGGAGGCAGCAGUGGGGAAUAUUGGACAAUGGGCGCAAGCCUGAUCCAGCAACGCCGCGUGGAGGACGAAGGUCUUCGGAUCGUAAACUCCUGUCAGUUGGGACGAAAAGGCAGCGGCGAACAGUCGCUGUCCUUGACUGUACCAGCAGAGGAAGCCCCGGCUAACUCCGUGCCAGCAGCCGCGGUAAUACGGAGGGGGCUAGCGUUAUUCGGAAUUAUUGGGCGUAAAGGGCGCGUAGGCGGCUCUGCAAGUCAAAGGUGAAAUCCCUCGGCUCAACCGAGGAACUGCCCUUGAAACUGCAGGGCUCGAGGCCGGGAGGGGGUGGCGGAAUUCCCAGUGUAGCGGUGGAAUGCGUAGAUAUUGGGAGGAACACCAGUGGCGAAGGCGGCCACCUGGACCGGUUCUGACGCUGAGGCGCGAAAGCGUG